AUUGAACGCUGGCGGCAUGCCUUACACAUGCAAGUCGAACGGCAGCACGGGUGCUUGCACCUGGUGGCGAGUGGCGAACGGGUGAGUAAUAUAUCGGAACGUACCUUAUUGUGGGGGAUAACGCAGCGAAAGCUGUGCUAAUACCGCAUAAUCCCUUAGGGGGAAAGCGGGGGACCGUAAGGCCUCGCGCAAUUAGAGCGGCCGAUACCUGAUUAGCUAGUUGGUGAGGGAAAGGCUCACCAAGGCGACGAUCAGUAGCUGGUCUGAGAGGACGAUCAGCCACACUGGGACUGAGACACGGCCCAGACUCCUACGGGAGGCAGCAGUGGGGAAUUUUGGACAAUGGGGGCAACCCUGAUCCAGCAAUGCCGCGUGAGUGAAGAAGGCCUUCGGGUUGUAAAGCUCUUUUGUCAGGGAAGAAACGGCAGCUCUAACACAGUAUGCGAAUGACGGUACCUGAAGAAUAAGCACCGGCUAACUACGUGCCAGCCGCCGCCGUAA
rnacentral:rRNA from 1 species